rnacentral:rRNA from 1 species
GACGAACGCUGGCGGCGUGCCUAAUACAUGCAAGUCGAACGCAUUUUCUUUCGCCUUGGCUUGCUACACCGAGAGAAAGUGUUUCGCGAACGGGUGUGUAACACGUGUGUAACCCGUCCAUCAGCGUGGGAUAACACUUGAAAACAGGUUCUAAUACCGCAUAAUUCCUUUUUCCGUAUGGAAUAUUGAUGAAAUGCGCUUUUGUGUCUCUGAUGUAUGCCUCCGUGGUGCAUUAGCUAGUUGGUGGGGUAACGGCCUCCCAAGGCUGCGAUGCAUAGCCGACCUGAGAGGGUGAUCGGCCACACUGGGACUGAGACACGGCCCAGACGCCUACGGGAGGCAGCAGUAGGGAAUCUUCGGCAAGGGACGCAAGUCUGACCGAGCAACGCCGCGUGAGUGAAGAAGGUUGUCGGAUUGUAAAACUCUGUUGUUAGAGAAGAACAAGGAUGAGAGUGGAAAGUUCAUCCCUUGACGGUAUCUAACCAGAAAGCCACGGCUAACUACGUG